GUCUGCUUAGCUCAGUGGCAGAGCGUUGGCCUUCGGAACCAACGGUCGUAGGUUCGACCCCUGCAGUAGACU